rnacentral:rRNA from 1 species
GACGAACGCUGGCGGCGUGCUUAACACAUGCAAGUCGAACGGAAAGGCCUCUUUCGGGGGGUACUCGAGUGGCGAACGGGUGAGUAACACGUGAGUAACCUGCCCUUGACUUUGGUAUAACUUCCGGAAACUGGGGCUAAUACCGGAUAGGAGCUCCUGCUGCCUGGUGGGGGUUGGAAAGUUUCGGCGGUUGGGGAUGGACUCGCGGCUUAUCAGCUUGUUGGUGGGGUAGUGGCUUACCAAGGCUUUGACGGGUAGCCGGCCUGAGAGGGUGACCGGCCACAUUGGGACUGAGAUACGGCCCAGACUCCUACGGGAGGCAGCAGUGGGGAAGAUUGCACAAUGGGUGGAAGCCUGAUGCAGCAACGCCGUGUGCGGGAUGACGGCCUUCGGGUUGUAAACCGCUUUCGCUCAUGACGAAGCUUUGUGUGACGGUAGUGGGUAAAGAAGCACCGGCUAACUACGUG